rnacentral:lncRNA from 1 species
GCCAGAAAGUGGAAUGACGUCUCUCCUGUCUCUGGGCGAAAAACAGCAGGAGAUAUUGUCAGUGGUCAGGCUGAGAACAGUGACACUGGAGAUGCACGUUCAUGUAAAGACUCCAUUUUCUAUUUUCAGUGUUUGAACGAAAACAAGGUUUCCCGGUUGGAAUAUUAUCGCUAUUUUACAAGAAAAAUCGCAUAAAAAUUUAUUUUAAACAGCGUUUGACAUGCUUCGAAGUACGGUAAUGGAAUAUUCUGAAUUUUUUUGUCACGAUACGCGCCGGCGGGUCACCCUUCGGAUAGUGUCUUGAACGCAAGAACAAAACUCAGCUAUUUGGAUAUAACUAUGGAUUAUUUGGAACCAAAACAACAUUGGGUGUUGAAGUAGAAGUCCUGGGAGUGCAUUCUGAUGAAGAACAGCAAAGUUUGGAGGAAGAAGGAUACUUUGACCUGUCGUAUUUUAACCACGUCUUCUGUGUGGGAUAUGUGCUCCUACCUCGUCUGCGGGCAGAUCACAGAGAGUUGGAAUAAUCACCCUUUAAGUAUAGAGGCGAGCCUGACACCUCACCAGCUGUGGCAUAUUGGAAUGCUCCAAACACCUGUGCACAUUUUUGUUUUUGCCUUAGCACUACACAGCUGAUUCAAAUGAUCAAGUCAUCAUCAAGUUUCAAGUGGUUAUAUCAGCUGUGUUGGUGAACCCCUCCCGCAUCUGAACAGGCUGACACAGAGGGCACAGCAUGAUCAUAAGUGAGAGGUCACUUGGUUGGGUCAACAGUAUGUUUUGAUGUAAGAGAGGAAGCCAGUCCCGUCAUCGCCACCUCACCCGUUCUUAAGAUAACCUUUGGGCCAACUGUGGGCCCAUGCUGGUUAGGAGACACCGCUAGAGACACUGUAAUUGUGAUGAACUGAGAGAAUAUUAGGGUAGCUCUGUAAUUAAUUAAUGAUAUGCUGUCUGCCUCUGUUCUUACCUCUUUCCCUUUGUCUUCUACACCUCUCUCCCCACCUCAUCUUUCUUCCUUGUUUUAUAAUGCACAGCAUAUGUGCAUUGAAGUACAGAUUAAUAUUAUAUUAUAAAUACAAGUUCACAAUUAUCAUAAUUAUAAUGCAUGUAUUAUGUAUUUAUAACACCUGGAUAAUGAACUUCUUUCAAUAAAGCGUUUCACAUUCUCCACUGGUUGAAAUAUUAUCCUUUGUCCUCAGAUUAAUGCAGAUGAAGGGAGUUAGAUAUGCAUAGUUUUUUAUUCUGUAUAUAUGAAUUAAAAUCAGCCUUUAUUUAAA